AGCUUGUAUUUGAUUUAAACUUUUGUUCUAAUAUCUUGUAACUUGAUUCAAUCAAGGGAUUGAAUCAAGGGGUUAAGGUUUGUUGGUGAGCCAAAGGGAAAACCAACGUUGUAAGGUUGUGGUUGGUGAGCCUUUGGAAAAACCAACUGGGUUGAUUGUGAAUCCGAAAAACAAUCGUUGUAAGGUUGUGGUUGGUGAGCCUUUGAGAAAACCAACUGGGUUUGAUUGUGAACCCAGAAAAACAAUCGGUUGGUUCUAGUCGGUGAGCCUGUGAAAACCGACCGAGUUCGUUGUGAUCUCGCAAAACAACAAGUUGGGUUGUGAGCUUGUAAAACAACCGGCUGUAAUCUGAGGGAUUAUAGUAAAAUUUCCAAGAGAUCUUGGGGAGUGGAUGUAGGUGCUAGGGUGCACCGAACCACUAUACAUCUUUGUGUUUGUAAUGCCUUAUCUCGUGUAUUUCAUGCCUUACAUUCGUACUUGAUUAUGUAAUAUCUCUAGCUUUGUUUUCUAUAGAGUUAUAAGUGAUUGUUUAGAAUUUGCUUAGCUUCCUCUCUAUUCUUAUCAUACACAUAGAUUAAAAUUGAUCAUACAACUAUAAGUUAAUUUUAGAUCAAUUGCACCCUAAAGCCAUAGUAUAAUUGCUCUAGCUUAAUUUUCCACUA
rnacentral:lncRNA from 1 species